GGUGGGGUGAUUAAAAGAGAGAAAAAUUAUAUCUGGGUCCAGGAAUAACGAAAGGCUUCCUCUAAAAAAGUCUUGAGCAAAGAAACGGGAUUUAAAAAGAGGUGAUCUUGAGUUACAGGAGAUGCCAGGAGGCAGGCACGCGAGGGUGUAGGGCCGACCAGGCUGGGAGGUUCACCAGGUGGAAACCCGGGCGGGGCGGGCGGUGCAGCGAGCGCGGGGUGGGCGGGGCCUCUCCGAGCCCCGCCCCGGGCCCGCCCCGGGGCCCGCCGCCUCUUCCCGUGAGAGGUGGGGGGCGGGUCCGGCCGCGGAACCUGCGCCUGCGCCCGCGCUGCGGCCGCGGCGACCGGUUUUUCUGACCCAGCUGGAAGGGCCGGCGCAGGUGGCCUCGAGUGCGUGUUCCUCUUGGCCUCUGAUGUCUGCGAGGGGAAUUCAGCAACAGGGACUCCUGUCUGGUGCUCUGACCCCAGCUUCCUCAAUCCAGGCUCUAAAGAGGCGCCCUCAGCCGAGCCCCGGGGUCCCGCGGGCCGCGGACCCUCCCUCCCUUUCCCUGCUCUGCACCCCGGGCCGGCGCUCCGUCCUGGGCGGAUGCCCCUCUGCGCCCUGUGGGCCCGCGCCGGCGCUUGUCCCCGUCCCGACUUGGGUUGGCCAUCACCCUGCGUUGGGUCGGGGGCUGUGUUUGUGCUUUCUGGCAUUGUAUUCGGCCCCGAGCGCUUACUGGACACUCAAGAAAUGGCUGUCCCUUCUCUGGUUGCUGUCUGCUAGCCCUCUCACCAGCCUGGGCUCUGUCACUCAGCCUGUCUGCUUUAAGGAAUACUCAGUCUACCCCAGCACACUCCCUCUGCUUGAAGAGCGGGCUGGAAGGAGAAAGGUGUCCUCUUUCUGCUCAUGUGGAAAUUGCCUGGGAAGCUAGUAAGCUGUUGGCUCUGAAGGCAGUUGGCUGUCCUGAGUUUUCGAGUCCCUUGGAAGGAUUCUGGGGAGUUGGCCGAUUGGCUGCAGACCCGAGCUCAUCUGACGAUGUGAACAGCCUCCUGAGACCUACAGGAAUGUGAUGACAUCAGUCGUUGUCCCCCUAGCUGGUCCACUUUAGCUCAUGGUAUCCUCUGACGACUUCCCUGGAAGGAGACGCUCCCUUACAGAUGGGGAAGCUGGGCCUUUUGGCUGAAGUCAUUGAUUCCUGAGGUCACACAGUUGUAGGGCAGAAGGUGUCAGGACAGACACGGGUGGCGGCCCCCCUGUUCCGGGUGCUCACUGUUGAGCCCGUUUGACCUGCUGACCUCGUGUUACACACGAGGAAAUGGAAGUCCUCCAAGGCGAAACAACACCCAGGCGCCAGAGAGAGAGAGCAGAGGAGAGGGGGCCGAGGGAGCCUGACAUGGAGCUUGAUCCCGUAAGUGAUUGAGUGAUCUUCUCACUGUGUCAUUUCGCCUUUUCCAGAACAUCAUAUAGUCGGAGUUCUGCAGCAGAGUGGAUUAUUUCACCCAGAAACGUGCAUUUACGUUUCCUCCACGUCUUUUCAUGGCUCAUUUCUUUUCGGUGCUGAAUAAUAUUCCAGUGUCUGGAGCGUAUUUAUCCAUAAGCUCAGCUACUGAAGGACAUCUUGCUUGCUCCCAAGCUUUGGCUAUUAGGAAUAAAGCUGCUAUGCACGUCACGUGCAGGUUCUCAUGUGGAUAUGCUUCCAGCUCGUUGGGGGCAAAUUCCGAGAAGCACAACAGCUGGGUCACAGGGUAACGGUCUGGUUUUGUAAGGGGCCACCCGGCUGUCUCCCAGAGUGGCCGCUCCCCUCUGCACUCCCACCAGUGAGCGCUCCUGCUUCUCCUCGCCCUGGCCCAGCAGGCUCUGGGUUUGGUCCUUGUGGUCAGCAUGCAGUGGCGUCUCCUUUCAGUUCCAGUGGAUGUUAGCUUUCAUUUCUAACCUUACCUAGGUUCCCCUGCUGUUUCUUUCUAUGCUUUGCUUAUUCGACAAACCUUUCCGGAGGAACUUUUCCUUUGAAGUGGGUGGGUUAAUGGGCACGACUCAGUCCUUUCUCAUUGCCUGUUAGAAUCCGCAUUGUGCCUUGUGUGGGUGCGUGUUGCAUGGGUGAUACCUAAUUAUAAGGAUGUAUCGGUGAAAGGGCUCUGCAAACAGGGUUCUGGCAGAGGUACUGGGGGAGGUUGGGGGCAUGAAUCACGGCAGCAUUUACCUGCUCCUUGAGAGUCCAGGCAGGGACCCCUCCUGCCUGUUCUCUGCUUGUUGUCAGCCCUGCAAAGUGCCUGAGCCCGGGGGGGACACUCAGGAAAUGUUUGUUGAAUGAAGAAGAGGAAAUCAAAGAAGGCUUCCUGGAGGAGGUGGCCCUUAAGCUGAGGCUGAAACGGAAUUCCUGUUUCAUGAGGGAGAGCAGAGGGGAGAUGGCAGGCGCCAGGCUCAGAGACGUGGAAGGUGCACACAGCUUGCAGACCGUAAUCAAGCAAGAGGUCUGGUUGGGCUUUGUUUUGUCACAAGCUAUGUGUUUGGGGCAAGCGAGUUCCUGGAAGAAAGUAAUAAAGAUCCAUCUGUUUGUUCAAUAAACAUUUACUUGCCAUAUACCCUGUCUGAGGCUUGCGGAAGGCUGGCACGAAGCUGUGGGCAGCGCUGGCAGGCGAGUGGGGGAGCCAGUGGGGCUCCCAUGGUGUCCUGGGCGCUGGGUGGGAGUCAUGCAGGGAGAGGGCGUAGGAGGAGGGCGUCGGGCCAGGGUCAGAAAGGAGGGCGCCCUGUGGGAGCGGGUGUCAGAGAGGGAGGGACAGGUGCAGCAAGGAAGCUGGGGAUGCCGGAGCCUCAGUGUGGGUGCCCUUGGGAGGGCCCUGGACGUGCCACGUGGAGGUUGGCAGGCGUGCGACGUUUUCAGGGCAGUGUGCUCAUGUCUCACUGAGCUAGGAACUGCUUGGUAAAAGUGCAGAUCCUUGGUUUCGACCUUGGUGCAGAACGCAGAGAUUUUGACCCCAUGGGCCCAGGCAUGUGCAUUUUCGUUUUGUGGGCAUGUUUUUGGCACCCCAGGAAAUUCCGGUUCUGCUGACCCUUCGACAGAGCAGAAAUGCCUCUCUCAGGGCCUCGGGAACCCCUGAAGCGCAAACCCAUUAAGGUGCCUAACCUUGCUGCUUCUGUGGGGGCCUGAGGCUGGUGUCUGGACUGCCUGUUCUGCUGUCAGCUGGCCCCUGGGGACACAUGGUCCCGGAGGCCACGUGCAGGGACAUCAUAUCGGGGCCUGAUUUCCCUCCUUGGUCAGGUGACAAUCUGACAGCUCAUCUUGAUUUCAUCUCAUUUCACAUGUUGCCUGUUCAAGAAGCAAUUUCAGGUGGCUUAUAAGGCAUAGAAUACAUGAAUAUGGCAUAAAUUAAAAGUGGGAGAAAGAUAGAAAAACAGAGGGGACGAAACAGAGUGAAGAAUAAUGACGCUCAGUUAUCGGGCGUCACUUCCCUGAAACCUGUUCUAAUUUCUUGCAGGGUUUAUGGCUACUUUGCGGGCCGUGUGGAGGAUUAGGGUUUAAGCUGCCAGUGCUCCUUCCGCUGCAAAAAGCCUCGCGUCUCUAUAGAAGCUAAAGCCACCAAAUCCGUACUUGAUUUGUUUAAUGAAAUGUGCUUCUUAGCAGGCGCGCGAUGUCGAGCGAGUAUUGUCUGGCGGUGAGAAAGUCUGGAUGCCCGGCCCGCAGUGCCGAGCGCUGCCAGUGACUUUUUUGUGCCCGUGAAUGCGGGGUCCCGCGGCUGCUCGCUAAGCCGGCCGUGAAUGCACAGCAGCUGGCUGCAGGGCCGCUAGGCUCUGUCCCUGACCCAGGGGGUUCCCAGGUCCCGGAGACUCAGGCCUCUGGUCAGCUGUAGGCGGCCACCCCACACUCCGGGGCCUUCCGGGAGCCAGCGGGAUGAUGGGCCCCCAUCUUUAGGGUGUUGGGUUCUAGGGGAAGCAUCUGUGAUAACAUUUGCUUCAUGGAGAGAGAAACCCCUGGUCCAGUAGCGUUAAAAGCCUCCACUCUUCUGUGAUCUCCGUACUGCAGACCUGCCCUCCCCCCCAAUUUGCUUUUGUGUUCCUGGUGGUAAGAAUACACUUGUGAGUGAAUGAACCUCCAGGCUGAGGAGGUCAAGCAAGCUAAGCUGGAUCCGCCAGAGCAACAGCAACCUCCCUGUCCCAGCCUCUCCAAGGAGGGCGGGGCCAUGCUGUGUUGUCUCCAAGGAGGGCGGGGCCGUGCUGUGUUGUCUCCAAGGAGGGCGGGGCCGUGCUGUGUUGUCUCCAAGGAGGGCGGGGCCAUGCUGUGUUGUCUUCAAGGAGGGCAGGGCCAUGUGUGGUUACCUGCCCAAACAUAGGAUUUUUUUUCUUUUCUUUUUCUUUUUUCUUUCUUUUUUUUUUUUUUUAGGUUUGUUUCUUUAUUUUGAGAAAGUGAGUGAGGGACCAGGGGUGGGGCAGAGAGAGAGAGGGAGAGACAGAGGAUCCCAAGCAGGCUCCUUGCUGUCAGCGCAGAGCCCGACCCAGGGCUCGAACUUACCAACUGUGAGAUCACGACCUGAGCCGAAACCAGCGAUGGGCCCUCAACCGACUCGGCGCCCUGAAACAUAGGAUUUCUGAGAUCUGUGGUAAUUUCAGUCAAUGUUCUUGGAAUAGAGAAGUUGAUUCUUUAAUCCAGUGAUCUUUCUUGUCUCCCCUUCUUGAAUUUCCUCAGGAGCGCUAUGCCAGUGCAGCAUCUGCAUCUGUGUGUGUGUGUGUGUGUGUGUGUGUGUGUGUGUGUGUGGGGUCGCGACUUUCUCUGCAGACUUUCUCUGCAGAGUAAUGAUUAAGCAAAACCAAAGGGCAGUCUUCUGUAAGGGCGCUGUUGACAAAUAUUUCGGUUACAUAACCGUGAACUGAGGUUGCAAAGUGUUGUAUCCCCAGGUCCUUAACUUACUCCUCCCUGGCUCGGGAGCUGGGCCUGGUCCCCUGGUUGACACCACCUUGUCCACAGGGGUGGCUUCUCUCCUGGGACAUAGUCUUCACCCCUUCCCUCUACCCUCCCUCCUAGUGUGGCUUUUCUGGGGCUCUUCAUGCCGGUUCCUGCUGCAGCGUCCUGAGGCCCUGGUGCUUUGGCUCAUCUUGGCUGAGGGACCUUGCCCUCUUUCCCGAAAGGAGGGAUGGAGGGUCAGCACCUCACCUGGCAGCUGGUUCGAAGUGCAGACUGCAGGUGCACUCACAGCAGCCUCCCCAGGGAGCACCUGCAUUUUAACAAAAUCUUCAGGAGAUUCUUGUGCACGAAAGCCUCACAUGUGCUUUCCUAGUCCUCCGUUCCCUCAAAGACACAAAGUUCCCUUUAAGAUCUGGAAGAAGUGAAGGUCUAGCCAAUGGACUCGCUUUCUCGGGAAGAUUCUCAGCAAGUGCAAGAGGUGGAGCUUUAUUCUGAAACCAAGCAAAAUAAAGUGUCCUCUUCUCAGGCUCCGACGGAUGCCGGACCGAGGCUCCCCCAGGGGGGGAGAUGCCGUGUCUCUGCACCUGAGCUGUCCUCUGGAGGGAGCUUGGGCAAGAUGCUUCACUUCUCCAAGACAGUUUUCCCUUCGGUAAAAUGGGAUGAGAAAAAAGAUCCUCCUUUCUGAGUUGUGGGGAAAGUUCACAGAUCCACACGGGGUGGACGAUGUGUUGGGAGCCAGGUGUGGCUUAUGAUGUCACUGCAGUGGGGAGGGCUGGAGCCGGGCUCCUCAUCGCUAAGUGGGGGUAAUGCCUGCUGCAUGGGCUGGCCCAAGGAUUAAGAGGCUAUGCAUGCACGAUGCCAGGGUGACAGCUAUUAUUUUCAUAACAACUGGCUUGUGUAACUGCCCUGUGUGCAUGGCAAUCAGCCGUGGCUUCAGGGAGGCCCCGGUACCUGAAUCAUCCAAGGACAGGUGGGGGCAGGUGGAGGACGAGGCCACUUUGGGCUGCGGCAGUGCCUUCUAGAUCGUUCACAGAGGCACGGUUUAUCCCAGGGCACUCAGGCCUAGAUUCCUGAGAGAAUCCGUAAGAAGCACUGAAGUUGACAUGACAUGUUGCUAAGUAGAUUUCUUUUAAAAGGUGUUCUCUCUCUGAGGUAAUGACAGAUGUGAGUGUUGCUAUGGUGACAGGUUGUCUGUUUGGAAGUACACAGCACAAUGGUUCAGGUGGCUUGCCUACAAUUUAUGGUCGUAGAAUGUAAGCAAGGCCCCUUUUGGGAAAUUUUACCAAGGGGUCUUCUCCUUCUGGUUCUGGUUUCCAAAGCCGAGUUUAUUUUGUGCCUUGGGUGACUGCGCAAGAUGGGGAGACCAUUGCAUGUAUUUACGAGGACAGAAUCUAUGCACACCACACGGCUGAAAGUUCAGGGCUUUCCAGGAACUGAAGGUGAUUGAAAAAAGUCCCACGUGGAGCUUAGAGCGUCAAAGGGAGGCAGAAUCUGCAGCGAGCCUCGAAGUUAUUUUAAAAUGACAAGCGCUCGGGGAGUGCCCGCUGUGUGCUGAGGGUCCCACGGAGGUGGAGGGUGGGUGAGGAGGUACGAGUGAGCGCGGUCCCUGCCCUUCAGAGGUCAGGGCAGAGAGCCCAACGCAGAGCGGACUGGGCUACAGGCUUCAAGUGCUAUGGACACAGCUGGGUGUUUGGGGGCUGGGACCAGUCCCAGUGUCAGGGCCGUGGUCUGGGGACUGUAGCAGGAUCUUGAAGGAUGAGCAGGGUUCCUGCAGAGUCCAUUUAUACAGCUGCCUAUCAUUUCAUCCUAUGGAAACACAAUAUGUGGUUUUUUUUUGUUUUUUUUUUUUUGCGGGGGGCGGGGGAGGGAUCUCCUCUUCGAGGCUCACCUAGGCUGCUUCCAAAUCAUCUCUGUUAUGAGCAGGGUGGUGAGCACUGUCUAUGCCUUUUGAGCAAGACAGUUGAAGUAGGAGAUACGUGAGUGUAGGCAGUGUGUUGUCUUGUUUUAAGAAAGGCAGACUCCCACCCGCAGCGCCUCAUUCGGACGUGUCUGGGGUCUUGGAAGCUUGUCUACCCUACGUUCUCCUCCCAGAGGUGCUGGAGAGCUUGCUGGGAGGUCCAUUGGUAGGAGGGGAGCACAGCCACUCAUAUACCCUUGCCCCAAGAAUGGUCCUCCCGUGCCGGGGACGAUCAUCCUCUUCCACCGAGCGCGCAGCGUCUGGAGGGACACACAUGGGCGGAGGGGGACACCCGCCUAGCCAGCCAGAUCAGCCAGAUCAACUCUGGAGAUCAAUGGGGUGACAGAUGUCGCAGCCAGAAAGCCCCAGUAUCCUGUUCCAGAGAAGCGUACCCCCAGGUCUCCCCGUCUGCCAGGGCCUGGCCUGCCAAUGUUUCACCUUGAGUAGAUGCAAAUCCUCGUCUUGGUGUUUUAUGGCCUCUGCAUCUGUUCUCUGAUUUUUCUGUAUUGUGUCUCUUUUGAAUGAGAGGAAAAAAUGCCCAUUUAUGGGAACAGAAAAAAAAACAAGUUUCAGGAAGUGCGGCUCAUUUCUUGGUGUACCAACGAAUAGCAUCUCGUUGCUGUCCAGCAAGUGGUCUGCUGUGGUUUGUUCACCAGGACCAUGAGCUGUCACUGACACUGUCCCGGGAACUUUCUUCUCAGGCGCCGGCUCUAAGCUCAUCCUCUUGGGUUAUUCUCUAGUUGCUUCUAUUCUCUUUU